CUCUCGACCCGACCCGACCCGACCCAGUCCUCUGGCUCCUCUCCUCCACUUACCCCUCUCUCGCGAAUUGAUUCCAGGAUGCGCCGCCGCCGUGCGUCCGCCGCCGGCCGCCUCCGCCAGCUGCCUUCGCCGCCUCUAGCCACUCAGCGAACUGCGCCUUGCGCCCCUCCACUGGAUCCCUACCCGCGUCCCACCGUUCCGCUCCUGAGAGCGAGGCAGCGGCUAACCCUAGCAGUGGGGUUUGGCAUGGUCGCCGCCGCGGUUCCCGCGCCGCCACGCCUCGUGCUUCUCCCCUACGCCAUCUGCGGCAUGCUUCUCACCCCGGCCACGAGCUCCUGCUCCUCCGUCUUGUUGCCGUGCGGCUUGGCGCCGACCGCGUCGAGCCCUCACACGACGCCGUCCACCCCAUCCCGUGCGGGGGGCCUGUGCUACACCCCGCCAUGGCCGCCUCGAGGACCGCAACAUCGCCAUGGACCACGACAUUCAGGGCCUCCUCGUCGACAACCAGCGGUUCGCAUCGAGCAUCGCCGACCAGACCACGCGCAUCGAGGCCGAGGCGCACACCGUCGCCGGCGAGGGUGGAGGUCCAGCAGCUCCUCGCAGACGUGCGGGUGAUGGCUGCGCGUCCUCAGCGAGCAGCUAGGGCGUACCCAAUCCGAGUCGGCCAAGGCUGGCAACAUCGGUAUCCAGGGAGAUCGAGAAGGGAAGGUAUGAGGAUUGAUGGGAUGAUGGAGUAUUGAUAAAGAAGCCCCAAAAUAUGUGGAGUGUCUGCUGGACUGGAUUGAAGGCCAGCUUGACAAUGAAUCCUUAUUCCUUAGAAGCUCGGCACACCAUUUCCACCUCGACUGCAGUGACGAGAGUCGACGGCGCUUUCCUCAUGGCCCUGGUGGGCAAUAACCACGGGAUGAUCCCUGCCUCCGUCUACUCAUCCGGGGCUGGUGAGUGGACCGACACCAUCUCCAUUGGGCAGUAAAUUGGCGUUGAGAUCGACAAUUUUGGGCACAACGCUGUUGUUGGAAAUAAGGUAUAUCUCCCCUGUGGAGACUGGAGAGACAGACCUGGUAGUGGAGUACGACAUGGGUGCACAAGAAAUAAGUGACCCCUUCCUGCCGGGUAAGGUUAUUGACUUGAUUGAUGAAGCAGGUUCCCGUGUUAGGCUCAUGCAUGCACAUCUCUCUGAUGAAGCCAAGGAGCUGGACAAAAACUUUGCUGGAUAACAAAAGACAAGAAUGAGGCUGCACAAAUAAGAAUGGAUAACAAAAUACAAGAAUGAGGCUGCACAAACAAGCUUACUUGGAAGCCCAAGUAAGAAUGGAUGACAGAAAUACAAUUCUCGCCGCGGCCAAUGAAGAAGCGCUCCCGCCGGAUCCUCUUUAGUGAAUCACAUGCUGCCUUUCAUAUUGCAGAUAUAAGGAUGACCGUAAAUGCACCCAUCUAAUUGUUGAAGCUUUAGAUCCCAGUGGAAAGAUAUCUUUGGCUCAAAUUUCUCGAAAGCUUACACAGCUAGGCCUCAGGAAUUCCAAGAAGAGGACAAAAGUUCCAGAGGCACCUCUCUCAGCUGAAAACCUAGCUACACAACCACAAAACCACGCGCUAGAUGAUCCUAAGCCAGAGAGUACCCGGCGCUGAAGGAAAAGGUUACAUGGGUUAAGCAGUAAUCAUGACAACAGCUCUAGUCAUCCAAUAUCAUCUGAUGAAGAAACACUGCAAGCACUUAAGAGCAGGCAAAUUCCCGCUUUAAAUUGCUUUCAUGAGUUAAUUUAUUAGCUUGAUACAGUUAGCGAAAGGAUAUCUUUGCAAGAAAAUAACCAGGGAAAGAAUAUGGGAGUAGUGUAUGUUUGAAACCUGAAUUGACAGUACAGUAAUUUUAUCUUAGAUAUUGGUGGGUUCAAUUUAAUUGAGGCAAUGUAGUUUUAUCUUAGACUUGGCAGCUCCUUUUCCCCGAAAAAGGUGUAAGGCUAAGUGGCUAACAAUAACCAGGGAAAGCAUAUGGGUUUCUAAUUUUGAUGACAAUACAGUGGUUCGGGCUAUUGUGUUUUCCCCUGUUUUUGUUUGUCUAUCCUUGCAGCAGUGAGCGAGCGAGACCGUGUUAUUGGUGUAGUUGCAGAAAACCUACUCCCGAUUGUUAGCUAGAUUGUUAACUUGUCCUACUUGAUCCCAUAUUUCAUGUAUCGUAGCUUCCUGCAAUAUUUUUCGAACAGAAAAUAGGCAUUUUAUUUGAAUAUUUUACUGACGUCCAAAGGCUGUUCCGGUCUAUAGCAGUUCACAAUUCGUAACUAUAGUUUACUGUUUUAGAAAUAAGUAUAAUGGGUUUUCAUUUUGCU